UUAUUAUAUACGAUGCUAUUAUGUAGCACAGAGAGCUAGUUUUCAAAAGAUUUGAUUACGGUAAGUAUGCUUACUACUAAAAAGUAGAAAGGAAUGCGGUCUUACUUGAUAUUUCAGAAGGCAGUUCAAGGUCUCGUCAUCCAUCAAGAGCUUCGAUGUGGUCUUCCAUUUGAAUGUGGCUCAUGAAAGGACUAAACGAGAGAUUCCACGCUGACAGACACUAAAAAUGAUGAAUUUCCACUUGCCCAGUUCAGAAGUACCUAAUGGGUGGGAGCAUACCAUGUACUCUUCUAUACCUUGGUAUCUUUCAAUUAUGUCAUUUUGGAGACUUUCUGGAACAGAACGUGGAGAUCAACCUCAUUUCCAGUGCUGUAUGGUAUUUCAGCCCAAAGGAAAAGAAGUCCACUGAAAAGCUGGGAAUCACAGAACAUUUGGAAUUGGGGGUUCAGAAUUGCAUGCUCCCUGGGCUGGAGCAUCUUUCUCUUCUCUCUGACCAUCCAGCAAAGGAAGAGGAUGAUCUAGAAGCAAUGCUACGUGGAGCUUGGUUUACUUAUGAGGCCAAAAGAGAAUUGCAUUUCUCAUUAUAAUUCUCAUCACAAGAACCCUUACAGUAUGCAAGAACACGACACACAUCUGUGCGGGUCGCUGUGUUUCGUCCCGGGCUGCACACUUCCUGGGUGAUGGUGGCAUGGAACGGGCCUCCCCCAGUUGUCCUUGAAGCUGGAGCUCAGCGAGAAGUGGUUUCUGAGCUUUAGAACCAGCAGUUCCAAUGGCACGAAGACAGACACGGCCCCUGUAUCAUCCGCAGUAAGAGUGGGGGUCUUGUCAUUCACCAGUAGAAAGGAAGAGGACGUUGGACUUCCUAAAAUAAAUUGGGGCUCAAGUCAAGCAGUUUGUCACAGGAUCUGUCCUUGGGUGUCUGGCCUUCUAUCUAUCCUAUUUUUGGUGGCAUGGGAAAAGACGAUUGAAGAACUGCACAUAAAUAAAUAAUUAAAUGACA